GUGGAUUAGAUACCCUAGUAGUCCACGCCGUAAACGUUGGGCACUAGGUGUGGGGACCCUCCAACGGUUUCCGUGCCGUAGCUAACGCAUUAAGUGCCCCGCCUGGGGAGUACGGCCGCAAGGCUAAAACUCAAAGGAAUUGACGGGGGCCCGCACAAGCGGCGGAGCAUGUUGCUUAAUUCGAGGCAACGCGAAGAACCUUACCUGGGUUUGACAUGUAGGGAAAAGCCGUAGAGAUACGGUGUCCUUCGGGGCCCUACACAGGUGGUGCACGGUCGUCGUCAGCU
rnacentral:rRNA from 1 species